CACUUCUGUGUCUGCAAAUACACACCUACUACUACUGGCAAUUAUUAAACCUACAAGUGAAACUGUAGACAAUAGUCAACCUCUCACCAGAGCAACACCUUUCGCUGCAGGUAUCGAUUUGAGAAGUGCCUAUAGUUACAAAGUUCCUGCUCGUGGUCAAACUCUCGUUGAUACUGGAAUUAAAGUUCAACUACCGAUUGGUCAUUACGGUCGUAUUGCUCCACGAUCUGGACUAGCAGUCAAUCAUUCUAUAGACGUAGGAGCAGGUGUUAUUGACGAAGACUACAGAGGUGUAAUUAAG